rnacentral:rRNA from 1 species
UACAGAGGCCUCAAGCAUUAUCCGGAAUCACUGGGCGUAAAGGGUGUGUAGGCGGCGAUAUUAGUCCUUCGUGAAAGCCCGUGGGCUUAACCCAUGGAACGCGGGGGAAACGGUAUCGCUUAGAGGACGCGAGAGGUAUAUGGAACUCAUGGUGUAGGGGUGAAAUCCGUUGAUAUCAUGGGGAACACCAAAUGCGAAGGCAAUAUACUGGCGCGCUCCUGACGCUGAGACACGAAAGCGUGGGAAUCGAACGGG